rnacentral:rRNA from 1 species
UCGAUUUGGAGUUUGUUGCCUAGAGUGAUGGGCUCCGAAGCUAACGCGAUAAAUCGACCGCCUGGGAGUACGGCCGCAAGGUUAAGACUCAAAUGAAUUGACGGGGGCCCGCACAAGCGGUGGAGCAUGUGGUUUAAUUCGAUGCAACGCGAAGAACCUUACCUGGUCUUGACAUCCACAGAAUCUUGCAGAGAUGUGAGAGUGCCUUCGGGAACUGUGAGACAGGUGCUGCAUGGCUGUCGUCAGCUCGUGUUGUGAAAUGUUGGGUUAAGUCCCGCAACGAGCGCAACCCUUAUCCUUUGUUGCCAUCGGUUCGGCCGGGAACUCAAAGGAGACUGCCGUUGAUAAAGCGGAGGAAGGUGGGGACGACGUCAAGUCAUCAUGGCCCUUACGACCAGGGCUACACACGUGCUACAAUGGCGUAUACAAAGGGAGGCGACCUCGCGAGAGCAAGCGGACCUCAUAAAGUACGUCUAAGUCCGGAUUGGAGUCUGCAACUCGACUCCAUGAAGUCGGAAUCGCUAGUAAUCGUGAAUCAGAAUGUCACGGUGAAUACGUUCCCGGGCCU